ACUCAAGUGGCGAACGGGUGAGUAACACGUGGGUGAUCUGCCCUGCACUUCGGGAUAAGCUUGGGAAACUGGGUCUAAUACCGGAUAGGAGCCAUCUUUAGUGUGGUGGUUGGAAAGUUUUUUCGGUGUAGGAUGAGCUCGCGGCCUAUCAGCUUGUUGGUGGGGUAAUGGCCUACCAAGGCGGCGACGGGUAGCCGGCCUGAGAGGGUGUACGGCCACAUUGGGACUGAGAUACGGCCCAG
rnacentral:rRNA from 1 species